UACGUAGGGUGCAAGCGUUAAUCGGAAUUACUGGGCGUAAAGCGUGCGCAGGCGGUUAUGUAAGACAGAUGUGAAAUCCCCGGACUCAACCUGGGAAUUGCGAUGGAGACUGCAAGGCUAGAAUCUGGCAGAGGGGGGUAGAAUUCCACGUGUAGCAGUGAAAUGCGUAGAGAUGUGGAGGAACACCAAUGGCGAAGGCAGCUCGCUGGGACGGUACUGACGCUGAGACGGCGAAAGCGUGGGGAGCAACAGGG
rnacentral:rRNA from 1 species